UGGGGAAUCUUGCGCAAUGGGCGAAAGCCUGACGCAGCAACGCCGCGUGGGGGAUGAAGGCUCUCGGGUCGUAAACCCCUUUCAGUCGUGACGAUGAUGACGGUAGCGACAGAAGAAGCCCCGGCUAACUCCGUGCCAGCAGCCGCGGUAAUACGGAGGGGGCAAGCGUUGUUCGGAUUUACUGGGCGUAAAGGGCGCGUAGGCGGGGUAUCAAGUUAGGGGUGAAAGCCCGGGGCUCAACCUCGGAACUGCCUUUAAAACUGAUACUCUAGAGUCCGGAAGAGGGUCGCGGAAUUCCCAGUGUAGAGGUGAAAUUCGUAGAUAUUGGGAAGAACACCGGUGGCGAAGGCGGCGACCUGGUCCGGUACUGACGCUGAGGCGCGAAAGCGUGGGGAGCAAACAGGAUUAGAUACCCCCGUAGUCC
rnacentral:rRNA from 1 species